rnacentral:tRNA from 1 species
UGGGUUGUAGCUCAGUGACAGAGUGCUUGCCUAGCACACAAGAGGCCCUGGGUUUGAUCCUCAGCACCACAU